rnacentral:rRNA from 1 species
UAGGGAAUCUUCGGCAAUGGACGAAAGUCUGACCGAGCAACCCCGCGUGAGUGAAGAAGGUUUUCGGAUCGUAAAACUCUGUUGUUAGAGAAGAACAAGGACGUUAGUAACUGAACGUCCCCUGACGGUAUCUAACCAGAAAGCCACGGCUAACUACGUGCCAGCAGCCGCGGUAAUACGUAGGUGGCAAGCGUUGUCCGGCUUUAUUGGGCGUAAAGCGAGCGCAGGCGGUGUCUUAAGGCUGAUGUGAAAGCCCCCGGCUCAACCGGGGAGGGUGAUUGGAAGCUGGGAGGCGUGGGUGCAGAAGAGGGGAGUGGAAUUCCAGGUGUAGGGGUGAAAUGCGUAGAGAGAUGGAGGAACACCAGUGGCGAAGGCGGCUCUCUGGUCUGUAACUGACGCUGAGGCUCGAGAGCGUGGGGAGCAAACAGG